rnacentral:rRNA from 1 species
GACGAACGCUGGCGGCGUGCUUAACACAUGCAAGUCGAACGGAAGGGCCCUGCUUUUGUGGGGUGCUCGAGUGGCGAACGGGUGAGUAACACGUGAGUAACCUGCCCUUGACUUUGGGAUAACUUCAGGAAACUGGGGCUAAUACCGGAUAGGAGCUCCUGCUGCAUGGUGGGGGUUGGAAAGUUUCGGCGGUUGGGGAUGGACUCGCGGCUUAUCAGCUUGUUGGUGGGGUAGUGGCUUACCAAGGCUUUGACGGGUAGCCGGCCUGAGAGGGUGACCGGCCACAUUGGGACUGAGAUACGGCCCAGACUCCUACGGGAGGCAGCAGUGGGGAAUAUUGCACAAUGGGCGGAAGCCUGAUGCAGCAACGCCGCGUGCGGGAUGACGGCCUUCGGGUUGUAAACCGCUUUCGCCUGUGACGAAGCGUGAGUGACGGUAAUGGGUAAAGAAGCACCGGCUAACUACGUA